rnacentral:rRNA from 1 species
AGCAGCCGCGGUAAUUCCAGCUCCAAUAGCGUAUAUUAAAGUUGUUGCAGUUAAAAAGCUCGUAGUUGAACUUCAGGCCUGGCUGGACGGUCCGCCUUCUGGGUGAGUACUGUCUGUGGUCGGGUCCUACCUUCUGGCGAAGCGUCAUGGCCUUCACCGGCCGUGGCGGGGAGCCAGGACUUUUACUGUGAAAAAAUUAGAGGGGUCAAAGCAGGCACGCGCUUGAAUACAUUAGCAUGGAAUAAUGGAAUAGGACAGUGGGUCUAUUUGUUGGUUUU